AUUGAACGCUGGCGGCAGGCCUAACACAUGCAAGUCGAACGAGUGGCGGACGGGUGAGUAAUGUCUGGGAAACUGCCCGAUGGAGGGGGAUAACUACUGGAAACGGUAGCUAAUACCGCAUACCAUCAGAUGUGCCCAGAUGGGUUUAGCUAGUAGGUGGGGUAACGGCUACCGUAGGCGACGAUCCCUAGCUGGUCUGAGAGGAUGACCAGCCACACUGGAACUGAGACACGGUCCAGACUCCUACGGGAGGCAGCAGUGGGGAAGAUUGCACAAUGGGCGCAAGCCUGAUGCAGCCAUGCCGCGUGUAUGAAGAAGGCCUUCGGGUUGUAAAGUACGUUCAGCGAGGAGGCGUUACGCGCAGAAGAAGCACCGGCUAACUCCGGGCCAGCAGCCGCGGUAAUAC
rnacentral:rRNA from 1 species